rnacentral:lncRNA from 1 species
CCUAGACUUUAGGUCUGUGACUGGAGUGCACCAGCAUGGCAGGCUAGCUCGUAUGUAGAAUGGAAUCUCAUCUGAAACUCUGCCAGAAUACCAAGCCCCUCUCAUCUUACAUUUCAAGAGGGAAGAUCAGCUUGUACUUCUGGUCCUAGGAUUAUGACCGGUGCAUACAGAAAAAGCUUUAAGAUGGAAUCUCUAGGUCAUGAGUGCCAGAAACUGUGGUUUUUGUUGGGGUGAUGCAGGCCUGGUGGUGCUGGUGGUCAUCUCUGUCCUCACAUGGAGGGAUCCUCUGGGUAAAUGAAGCUAACACACAGGGGAUAGAAGCUGAAGAUGGAGAGGCAGAGAGAAGCUCUGACAGCACUGCAUCUAGUUUUGCUAAAGA